AGCUCCAAUAGCGUAUAUUAAAGUUGUUGCAGUUAAAAAGCCCGUAGUUGAAUUUUGGGUUUGAUAGGUGGUCUCAUCGAAAGACAAGUACUACCUUUAUCAUACCUUUCCUUCUGGGGAAUCAGUAUGGCAUUUAUUUGUUGUGCUGGGGAACCAGGACUUUUACUUUGAAAAAAAUAGAGUGUUUAAAGCAGGCUUACGCUUGAAUACAUUAGCAUGGAAUAAUAGAAUAGGAUUUUGGUUCUAUUUUGUUGGUUUCUAGGACCGAAGUAAUGAUUGAUAGGGAUAGUUGGGGGCAUUAGUAUUUAAUUGUCAGAGGUGAAAUUCUUGGAUUUAUGAAAGACUAACUUCUGCGAAAGCAUUUGCCAAGGAUGUUUUCU
rnacentral:rRNA from 1 species